GACAGAGGGUGCAAACGUUGUUCGGAAUUACUGGGCGUAAAGCGAGUGUAGGCGGUGUGGUAAGUCGGAUGUGAAAGCCCCGGGCUCAACCCGGGAAGUGCACUCGAUACUGCCACGCUAGAGUAUCGGAGAGGUUGGUGGAAUUCUCGGUGUAGAGGUGAAAUUCGUAGAUAUCGAGAGGAACACCGGUGGCGAAGGCGGCCAACUGGACGAAUACUGGCGCUGAGACUCGAAAGCGUGGGGAGCAAACAGG
rnacentral:rRNA from 1 species